GCGAGGAUUCAAAUCCCACAUGUGUUUUCUUUGUUACAAUAAUUAAAUAUUAAAUUUUGAAAUUAUUCAGAUUAUCCCCACAUAAAAAAUCACAAUCAUCCAGAAAAUAUCUCCGUGGCCACUAAUCAGUCGAUUGGGAAAAGUCACACUGGAUCGAAAAAUGGACCAAUGACAUGAUUCCCUAUUAUGCUUGGGAACAAGCCAUUCUCAAAAAAAUGUUAAUCUUGAUGUUCCAUUUCCAUUUUGACAGAAUUCUAAACGUCGAUAUUAAUCCCCAGGGAAUUGUUCGGUGGAUUUAUGUAGUUUAUGUAGGGACGGUAUUACGGUAUCCAUGACUUUUCAAAACUGUUACCUAUUGUAUAAUCUUGAAAGUCCAUACUGUUCUCCGAGCCGAGAUGUUGUAUCAUCUUUCGGGGGAAUUUAACAAGUCGGAAUGUCAGCUUGGUCUGGAAAGUAGCCCCUUAGACCAUCCUCCGAUUAGACGAUUACCUAUCUGAGUUAGAUAGGGUUGUGACUUGUGUUUUCUGCUAAGUCGUUAUUGACAUCUUUAUUCCAUUUUCUAAGUUUUAAAUGCCAUUUCUUGGCGUUUCUCAGGUUUGAGAUUUCAUCUCUUGUUUCUUACAUCAUUUGUAGGGAAGUAGUUAGUAAUAACACAAUAUUUGAAGUAUAAAAAUAGAGAACUGCAGCACAGAAUUCUAAGUUAGGACAAGGGUGUCCGUAAAGAAAGGCCACAUGGCCGCCACGGCGUAGGCCGAGGCCCACUAGAGGCACGUACGGUGCUCGUCGAGACUAGAGAGUCAGAGAGAGCUUCGGUAUCAUCUCAUUGUAUUGAUUUGCGUGUAAAGAUAAAAUGCUUUGUGGAAAUGCUAUCAAUGAGUGUCCCCGUUUAGGAUUUUGUCCUCUUCAGGGUUUGUGAUGAAUGUAUUGUGUGGAUCGCAAAAGCAAACAGUCCGAAAAACGCACUGGGGCAAGUGUGGUGUUCCUGGUGUUCCUGGGUUAUGCCGGACGGUGGUGUCCAGAAGGCUACAAGACAACAGAGAAGAAAGCUUGAUGGAGUUGUUGUUGGUUCCAUAGACAUUUACGUGUACUGUCCGUGCUUUGCUCUCGACCAUUCUCCCUAGAAACCAUUGUACAACAACAGGUAGGCCUGCGUCCCUCGUCGGCGGUCAGGAGGUGGCUUUUGAGCGCAGCGUGGACAGUGUGAGUUAGAGUGGUGAAAAUAGUUGCGGCCAUUUUCUUGGGACGAACAGGUAUAAUUGUGCAAUGAAGUUGGGAAACCGCAAAAAACCAACUUCUCCCUGUUCGGGGUAGGGAAGAGGAUAUGUUAUAGGUGGGUGCGGUAGGCUAACGGGGUAGCCUCGAGGAUGUUUUCGUAUUCUACUGGGAGUUCGUCAAUGCAUGUUUGCAUUAGAGCAGACGGUGGGUGAAUCUUUUUUCGCUUGGGCUUUGCGUGGUAGAAUACGUGGCCAGAAGAUGAACAGGAACAUUUAAGAGAUUCUUGUGUGUCGGAGGGGGGAUCGUUGAUUACUUUGGUUGUGAAGUUCCUGUUCAGAGAGUUUAUUCUCUCGAUAAUUGUGGGUAUGUUUGAGAGGUUAUGGAUUUCGUUUGAGGGAUAUCUCCAGUGCUCGUAGUUGCAUCUACGCAAGAUUCUCCGUUCCACUCGCAACAACCUCUCUUUCUUUGCUCUAGUGCAUAGAGAGUAGAGGCAUGAUUUGUACUCAAUGACGGGUCGAAUAUAGGUCUUGUAAGUGUGUAAGAGAGUCUUCUUGUGUGUCUUGCCAAUACGUCCUGAGAGUGGGUUGAGAAGUCUGGCUCUGUUCCUUACCCUAUCUAAAAUUACAAGAAUCUACAGGUCGAGCAAUUCUCGUAAAUUUCACGAUUGCGAGCCACGCUUCACGCAACCGUGUUUGCGUACUUGUGUUUCGAGUUGCGUGGUCGUGCGGAGUUAUAUUUACCAAAUUUAAAUAUAAUCGUUUCUACUGAUUCAUAAUAAUAUGAAGGUAUACUAUUCUCAAUAUGGCUACUGGGUGUAAAAGAUAAAUCUUAUUCUAUCUGUUCUUCAUGAGUUUUAGAUAAUUUUAGUUGUAUUUCUUUGUAAUUUUGUGUUGUACAAAGAUUAAUUUAACAUCUUCUCUGGAAGUAUUAAUUUAGAAAGAUAAUAUGCUUCAUUGGUGUUGUGUUUUGAAGUGUGAAAUGCAAAGUAAUUGUAAAGUCAAGAUAAAGUUCACUUUUAAACUGAACUAAAUAAGGUAUCUGAGAGACAACAAUGGUUAAAUGCAAUACAAUGUACAGGUUUUACUAGCGAAAUGAAAAUUUUCCUGUCCUGUCUGCUGUAAUCAUUUUAUAUCUGGAAAAUAGGAAAACCAGCCGACUUAAUCGAUAAUAACAAUCUCCAGAUUCCUUCAAUAAAUAUGGGCUAUAAACACAAUGAAAUAAGUUCCCCAAAAUCUAAAAUGGAGUGGUAUCAAAGGAGAAUUAAAGGAAAAAAUAUUCAUAUUGAAAUUAUUUAUAAGGCACUGGACUGUCUUAAAUUCUACAAUAAUACUAGAAUCAGCUGAGAGAAGUGGUCUACAAAAAACCAGGAAGGAAACGGAAUAUGGCUACGAAAGGCAAAAGAAAGGUUUACAAAGCAAAUGUGACACAUUUUUCUGAAAUAUUUAGGAAUAUCAGUAAAUUGCAUUAAAAAAAUGUAUGAAAAGAUUUUGUUCAAUAAAAAUGUUUAUAUUUA
rnacentral:lncRNA from 1 species